rnacentral:rRNA from 1 species
UACGUAGGCAGCAAGCGUUGUUCGGAGUUACUGGGCGUAAAGGGUGUGUAGGCGGCUUUCUAAGUUUGGUGUGAAAUCUCCCGGCUUAACCGGGAGGGUGCGCCGAAGACUGGGGAGCUAGAGUAUGGGAUGGGAAGGUGGAAUUCCUGGUGUAGCGGUGAAAUGCGUAGAUAUCAGGAGGAACACCUGCGGUGUAGACGGCUUUCUGGACCAUCACUGACGCUGAAACACGAAAGCGUGGGUAGCAAACAGG